rnacentral:rRNA from 1 species
UACGGGGGGGGGCAAGCGUUGUUCGGAAUUACUGGGCGUAAAGGGCGCGUAGGCGGCUCGCUAAGUCGGAUGUGAAAACUCUGGGCUCAACCCAGAGCCUGCAUUCGAAACUGACGAGCUCGAGUUCUGGAGGGGAAAGCGGAAUUCCUGGUGUAGCGGUGGAAUGCGCAGAUAUCAGGAGGAACACCGGUGGCGAAGGCGGGUCUCUGGGCAGUAACUGACGCUGAGGAGCGAAAGCGUGGGGAGCGAACAGG